rnacentral:rRNA from 1 species
UGGUGGAGUGAUUUGUCUGGUUAAUUCCGUUAACGAACGAGACCUCGGCCUACUAAAUAGUUUGUUUCACCUUCUCGGGUGGAGCAAGACUUCUUAGAGGGACUAUCGGUGAUUAGCCGGUGGAAGUUCGAGGCAAUAACA